GAUGAACGCUGGCGGCGUGCCUAAUACAUGCAAGUAGAACGCUGAAGGAGGAGCUUGCUCUUCUGGAUGAGUUGCGAACGGGUGAGUAACGCGUAGGUAACCUGCCUGGUAGCGGGGGAUAACUAUUGGAAACGAUAGCUAAUACCGCAUGACAACAGUUAUUGCAUGAUAACUGUUUAAAAGGGGCAACUGCUCCACUACCAGAUGGACCUGCGUUGUAUUAGCUAGUUGGUGAGGUAACGGCUCACCAAGGCGACGAUACAUAGCCGACCUGAGAGGGUGAUCGGCCACACUGGGACUGAGACACGGCCCAGACGCCUACGGGAGGCAGCAGUAGGGAAUCUUCGGCAAUGGACGGAAGUCUGACCGAGCAACGCCGCGUGAGUGAAGAAGGUUGUCGGAUCGUAAAGCUCUGUUGUAAGAGAAGAACGAGUGUGAGAGUGGAAAGUUCACACUGUGACGGUAUCUUACCAGAAAGGGACGGCUAACUACGUG
rnacentral:rRNA from 1 species